UCUUGGCAAGCUUGCAGUCAAGAUGGCUUUGGUUGGGGUCCAGUGCUAGACCACAAACCUUUGCAUGUCAGUCGGUGUCCAGUGUCAGUUACUGUCUUCGGAACAGGUCAUUAUACGUACGUCAACACCAAGGAAGGUGACGCCCACCACCUACAGCAACCCAAUGGAUACUUCCUUCCAGUCUGUUUUUUCAGCAGGUUAUGCGGAUGAUGUUACUGCUGACCCUGACUUCCACUUAAACCAGACGUGUCGCACAGAAGCAGAUCAAGAAGAAGUAUCAAAUUCAGAACUGAUGUCCGAGAGCAGAACUACUUAGUUUUUGAAGAGAACCAGCUUGACCUGUUUAAGACAUGCCUCCAAUGUCGGUUGCCUGCAGCAGGACACAUCAGCCAACGAAGUGGCUCAUACAUCGCCAUUAGGCAGACAUGUGAAUGUGGCUACUCACGGCGGUGGGAGUCCCAGCCAAAAGUGCAAGACAUUCCAGCUGGGAAUCUGCUUCUCAGUGCAGCAAUAGUGUUUGCUGGCUGCACACCUACAAAAGUGCUGAGACUUUUUUCUUUCAUGGAUGUUCUUUGCAUUUCGGUGAGCACAUUCUUCCAGCAUCAGCGAUCCUUCCUGUGGCCAGCUGUGGAGGCUGUUUGGCUGGAACAUACAUCCGCUGCCCUGACUGCCAUCAAGGAGUGUCACACAAGCUGGUGAUGGAAGAUGCGACAGCCCAGGACACUGCGCUAAAUAUGGAACGUAUUCCUUGAUUGACAUGGCAACUGGGCAUGUCAUUGGCCUUCAUUUAGUGCAGAGCAACGAAGUGGCAUCCAGCUACCACAUGGAGCUAGAAGGUUUGAAGAGAGGCAUUGCUGCCUUACGAGAGCAAGGGAUCCAAAUAAAAGAGAUUGUUACAGAUCGCCACAUGCAGAUCCAAAAAUGGUUGAAGGAUAACCAUCCCGAGAUCAAGCAUUUAUAUGACGUCUGGCAUGUCGCUUAAGCUGUCAAGAAGAAUCUGGUUGCCCUGUCAAAGCAGAAGGAUUGUGAUCAUCUCUUCAAGUGGAUAAAGAGCAUCACGAACCAUCUGUACUGGGCAGCAGCCUCCUCUGCAGAUAAUGAUGGGGCAGUGAUCGUUUCCAAGUGGAAGUCUGUCUCCAACCACAUACAGAACAUCCAUCAUGGCCAUGAUGGUCCCUUCACCGACUGCCAACAUGAGGAGCUUGCUGAUAGGGAUUUUGUUGAAACCAGGUCGCUAGGUCAAAGGUCAAGAUCACAGUGACAAAAAACGUAUUCACACAAUGGCUGCCACUACAACGGACAGCCCAUAUGGGGGGCAUGCAUGUUUUACAAACAGCCAUUGUUUUCAAGAAGCAAAGCAGCUGUGAAGGUUGAGGAGAUAGUUCUCAACAAGCGCCUUUGCACAGACGUGGCCAAACUGUCGACCGGCUACCAGACAUCCACACUGGAAAGUUUUCCUGCAACCAUAAAUCACUUUGCCCCGAAGAUGAUGAGUUUUUCGUACCAUGGACAAGCCUGUAGACAGAUCAUAGCAGCCCUUCAUUUCAAUGAAAACGUUAAUAGAGAAGUGGCUACAACUAAGGACGGGACAGAGAAGCCUGUGGUUGUACAUGUUUGUGUUGUGUAUUCCCAAAAUACAAAAGUGGGGAUGAUUUCACAGUCAAACCAACAAUGGUGAACCAAACGUUUGAUUAUGUGGACAAACUUAUGAAUAAGGUGUUUGAAAUAUGUGAAGUGAGCCAACCGACAGUGAUGGCAACACUUCAGUUCUUUAGCCCUAUUUGCGCAUUGGCCCCGGUCAAUUUCCUGAAUUUAAGGUGUAUGGCCUAAAAAAAAAUGUUUUUUGACUCCAGGAGCUGAAAUGUAAGUAUAAAUUGUAAAUAUUCUAGUAAUUUCACAUGUUUUCAGUAAUUAGAAACUAAGUUACCUGAAUUUUAGUCAACAACAACAACAUGCUGAGUGAGAAGUAAACACAUGUACUUUCUGCUUGAAACAGUCGACAUUUGACAUAUUUCAACGGUGGGUUUAAAUAAGUUAG